AUCUACAGAAAGACAGAAGAUUAAUUACAGGAACAGGACACACUCUGGAUUUUCCUCUGCUCUACAGACUACACUGGUUGGAGUAUUAAAUCCUUUUGCAACACCACCUUCCUGUAAAUAUUCCAUUUCAACAGAUUGCCAAAAGGAACUACAAAAGACUUCAAAGGCAAUAACUUUGAACUAUAGCUUCAUGCUUUCAUUGAGAAUGUAGAUUCUACAUCAAAGAAG